GGGGGUAUAGCUCAAUUGGGAGAGCAGCAGACUGAAGUCGCAAGGCACAUCUGAAGGUCCCGCGUUCGAUCCGCGGUACCCCCA
rnacentral:tRNA from 1 species